AUUGAACGCUGGCGGCAGGCUUAACACAUGCAAGUCGAGCGGGCGAGGUUGCUUCGGUAACUGAGCUAGCGGCGGACGGGUGAGUAAUGCUUAGGAAUCUGCCUAUUAGUGGGGGACAACAUUCCGAAAGGAAUGCUAAUACCGCAUACGCCCUACGGGGGAAAGCAGGGGAUCUUCGGACCUUGCGCUAAUAGAUGAGCCUAAGUCAGAUUAGCUAGUUGGUGGGGUAAAGGCCUACCAAGGCGACGAUCUGUAGCGGGUCUGAGAGGAUGAUCCGCCACACUGGGACUGAGACACGGCCCAGACUCCUACGGGAGGCAGCAGUGGGGAAUAUUGGACAAUGGGCGCAAGCCUGAUCCAGCCAUGCCGCGUGUGUGAAGAAGGCCUUUUGGUUGUAAAGCACUUUAAGCGAGGAGGAGGCUACUGGUAUUAAUACUACCGGAUAGUGGACGUUACUCGCAGAAUAAGCACCGGCUAACUCUGUGCCAGCAGCCGCCGUAAUAC
rnacentral:rRNA from 1 species